AUUGAACGCUGGCGGCAUGCCUUACACAUGCCAGUCGAACGGCAGCACGGGUGCUUGCACCUGGUGGCGAGUGGCGAACGGGUGAGUAAUACAUCGGAACAUGUCCUGUAGUGGGGGUUAGCCCGGCGAAAGCGGGAUUAAUACCGCCUCCGAUCUCCGGAUGAAAGCGGGGGACCUUCGGGCCUCGCGCUAUGGGGUUGGCCGAUGGCUGAUUAGCUAGUUGGUGGGGUAAAGGCCUACCAAGGCGACGAUCAGUAGCUGGUCUGAGAGGACGACCAGCCACACUGGGACUGAGACACGGCCCAGACUCCUACGGGAGGCAGCAGUGGGGAAUUUUGGACAAUGGGCGAAAGCCUGAUCCAGCAAUGCCGCGUGUGUGAAGAAGGCCUUCGGGUUGUAAAGCACUUUUGUCCGGAAAGAAAUCCUUGGCUCUAAUACAGUCGGGGGAUGACGGUACCGGAAGAAUAAGCACCGGCUAACUACGUG
rnacentral:rRNA from 1 species